rnacentral:rRNA from 1 species
AAGUAGUCUAAUCAAGAAAUCAACCGAGAUUUUAUUACUAGUGGUGAGCGAAAGCAAAUUAGAUUUUUCAUAGCAUAGGUUUUUAACAGAAUUACCAAAGAGGGUGAAAGUCCCGUAUGUUAGAAUGGUGCUUAUGAAUUUAGUAGAGCAAAAGUCUUAUUUUGCUUGAAUAAUGGGGUCCCACCCUCAAAAUCUAAAGACAAUUCUAAGAAUCGAUAGUGAACAAGUACCGUGAGGGAAAGCUGAAAAAGAACUCAAGAGAGUGAAAAGACUUUAAAAUUCAAUUUUAAUUAGCAGUCGGUAUUACGGCGUGCCUUUUGCAUAAUGAGUCAAUGAGUUUUUUGUAAAAGCAAGCUAAAAGGCAAAAGUUUUUGCAAAAAGACCCGAAACCAAGUGAUCUAGCCAUGAUCAGGCUGAAAACUUUCCCGUAAGGGAAGUUGGAGGGCCGAACCCGUGUAUGUGGAAAAAUGCUGGGAUGAAUUGUGGCUAGGGGUGAAAGGCUAAUCAAACUUGGAGAUAGCUGGUUUUUUGCGAAAUAUAUUUAAGUAUAGCGUUUAAAAAUGGUCAAUUGGGGUAGAGCACUUUUUAGGUGAUGGGGAUUUUCGAAUUUUACUGAUCUUAGAAAAACUCCGAAUACAAAUGAGAUUAUUUAAACAGUCGGACAGUAGGAGCUAAGUUCUACUGUCAAGAGGGAAACAGCCCAGACUUUUAAUUAAGGCCCCAAAUUAAAUUUUAGUUGGAAAGAAGUAAGAAAGUAAAGACAUUCUUGGAGUAGGCUUGGAAGCAGCCAUCUAUAAUAAAAUGCGUAACAGCUUGAAGAGAGAACUUUCUUGCGCUGCUAAUGUAAGGGAUUAAAAUUUAAGCCGAAAUUAAAGAUAAUUAGUAUUAUGGUAGCAAAACGUCUUCUAGAGCUUAGAAGCUGUUCUGUAAAGAGUAGUGGAGCUAUGAAGAGUGUAUAUAUUGACAUAAGUAGCGAUAAACAAUGAUAAGAAUCAUUGUCGCCCUAAGCUCAAUGGAUCCAAUGUUAAAUUUGAUUUCGUUGGUAGUGAAUCGGCCCCUAAGACUUAAGCGGUAGCUUUUUAGACGAUGGGAUUCGUUUGUGUGACGGAAAGAAAAGUGUAUAAUUUAUUAUCGACUUUAAAUUGUACAUUUACUUUUCCAAGAAAUAGCACAAGCAUUAGAAUAAACCGUACACCAAUCCGACACAGGUGAGUGGGUAGAGUAUACUAAGGCGGAUGAGAUAAUCUAUGUAAAGGAACUCGGCAAAAUUAUCCUGUAACUUCGGGAGAAGGGAUGACAACUUGUGGGCAACCAUAAGUUGUUGGCACAGAAAUGGAGGUAGCAACUGUUUAUUAAAAACACAGGUCUCUGCUAAUUCGUAAGAAGAUGUAUAGGGACUGACGCCUGCCCGGUGCUGUAAAGUUAAGGGGAGAGGUCUUGGCUUCAAACUUAAGCUCCAGUAAACGGCGGCUGUAACUCUGACGGUCCUAAGGUAGCGAAAUUCCUUGUCGGGUAAUUUCCGACCCGCAUGAAUGGCGUAAUGACUUCCUUACUGUCUCUACAUAGAACUCAGUGAAAUUGAAAUAUUUGUGCAGAUGCGAAUUUGUAGCAGCUAGACGGAAAGACCCCGUGCACCUUUACUAUGUUUAUAAAUUGAAAUAAGA